GCCUUAUCAAGAGCGGUGGAGGGAUCAGGCCCUGUGAAACCCGGCAACCUGGCGUCAGCGUCAAGGUGCUAAAUCCUGCGGUUAUUUUCCGGAAGAUGGGGA
rfam:Ruminococcus albus 8 contig00033, whole genome shotgun sequence.